GAUCCUGGCUCAGGAUGAACGCUAGCUACAGGCUUAACACAUGCAAGUCGAGGGGCAGCAUGAUCAAAGCUUGCUUUGAUUGAUGGCGACCGGCGCACGGGUGAGUAACGCGUAUCCAACCUUCCCUAUAGUAGUGGAUAGCCCGGCGAAAGUCGGAUUAAUACACUAUGUUGUAUUUAGAGGACAUCUGAAGAAUACCAAAGGUUUACCGCUAUAGGAUGGGGAUGCGUCUGAUUAGAUAGUAGGCGGGGUAACGGCCCACCUAGUCGACGAUCAGUAGGGGUUCUGAGAGGAAGGUCCCCCACAUUGGAACUGAGACACGGUCCAAACUCCUACGGGAGGCAGCAGUGAGGAAUAUUGGUCAAUGGGCGAGAGCCUGAACCAGCCAAGUAAGCGUGCAGGAUGACGGCCCUAUGGGUUGUAAACUGCUUUUAUCGGGGGAUAAAGUCACCCACGUGUGGGUGUUUGUAGGUACCCGAUGAAUAAGGACCGGCUAAUUCCGUGCCAGCCGCCGC
rnacentral:rRNA from 1 species